AUGGUGAUGGAAUGUAUGACAAGCAAAUUCGUAAUGGUCGCAAAAUGAAUGGGUUGGGUAAGUAGUUCACAUUUUCAGAUCAAAACAGAUCAUUUUGAUUGGAAUGGAUCACCCGUCAGCUCAACACCUUUAUCAGGCCUUUUUUUUAGUUGACUAGUGUGUGAGAUAGAUUUUACAAAAACGAUAUUUUUCAAAGGUAAUCUAAAAUUAUAGUGCGUCAAACCUAAGUUUAAUAGCUUCAGGUUAGAGAAAGACGGUGUUUUGACCAACUAGAUGCUAUAACAAACUAUUUUGUGGAGGUGGUAAUAUGGGUGUGUUGGGUAGCAGGUCAUGACGGCCCAACGGGUAUAGACUAGGGGCAGCAAUUCUUGACACGACCCGACACAAAAAAACAGGUUUGGGUCGACUAACACGAGCCAUUUAAAAAAAGGCCGGGUUCGGGUUGACCCAUAUUAAAAACAGUUCGGCUUGACUCGUAUAAAACGGGUUGACCCGUUAACGCAUUUAACUAUUCAGAAGAAAAAAAACAAAAAAAACAAACUUUAUGUUUUUGUUUUUCCGUUUCCAUUUACAUAAUUAGUCAUAAUAAUGUUAGUUUGGCACACUAUAUUAUUUACUUGUCAGUUGUCACACUCAUACUCACCAUUAAACAUGGUAUCGAUAACCCGCUUAAAACCCAACAACUCGCUUAUAAUAUGACUCAUUUAAAAAUACGGGUGAAACGGGUCGUGUUCAGAUUGACCUGAAUUUAUGUGUAUACGGGUUAGGGUUAAAAUCUUUGACACGAAGGAAUAAUAUGGGUCAGGUUCAGGUUGCACAUUUUAUGUUUUUGUUUUUUCCGUUUCCACUUACAUGGUUAGUCAUAAUAAUUUUUUUUUAUUGGCACACUAUAUUAUUUACUUGUCACACUCAUACUCACCAUUAAAUAUGGUAUCGAUAACCCGCUUAAAACCCAACAACUCGCUUAUAAUAUGACUCAUUUAAAAAUACGGGUGAAACGGGUCGUGUUCAAAUUGACCUGAAUUUAUGUGUAUGCGGGUUAGGGUUAAAAUCUUCAACACGAAGGAAUAAUAUGG
rnacentral:lncRNA from 1 species